GACGUAGGGCGCGAGCGUUGUCCGGAUUUAUUGGGCGUAAAGAGCUCGUAGGCGGCUUGUCGCGUCGACUGUGAAAACUCGGGGCUCAACUCCGAGCUUGCAGUCGAUACGGGCAGACUUGAGUACUGCAGGGGAGACUGGAAUUCCUGGUGUAGCGGUGGAAUGCGCAGAUAUCAGGAGGAACACCGGUGGCGAAGGCGGGUCUCUGGGCAGUAACUGACGCUGAGGAGCGAAAGCGUGGGGAGCGAACAGG
rnacentral:rRNA from 1 species